UAAGAACACGUUCACUAUAAAUCAUUAUGGAUAUUUCUUUUCAGAAUAUCAAUCAAUAUCAAUAUCAAAGGUCAAUGUGUUUCGUUAGAUUUGUGGCGGCGGGAUUAUCGUCAUUAACUAAUUACUUGAUAUCAGAUUUUAAUGGGGAGUGGUGUAAUUCCCGCACGACUGUUGACUUUCAUUGUAAUUGCUUGAGCUGGUUCCUGGGCCGCCUCAGAUAGCAGGAUGAUGUGUCAAGUAUCAGCUUGACAGGAAGGCUUUCCGGUUAUGACUGAGGCCGGCAUCUCACCUGUCCUGGCUACGCCAAAUCACUGCGGAUGCCGGAUGCCGAGGACCGGAGAGCCAACCGCUUUGAGGCGUGAGCUCUGUGGCGUGGCUCGAGUGACGGCUACGGCGCCGUCGACCUGGUUGAAUAGCUGGGGCCUGGACGAGGGUGCCCUUAGUACGGUGGCCAAUCGGUUACGUCCGAGGGGCGCUCGAACACGCUGCCGUCGCGUGGCUGCCGGCGGCCGCUCCCUCGCACGUGAAUCUUCUGGAGCGAGGACUGCGAGAGGCGGCCGCAUCAUCACCUGUGUCCGCGCUCAACACCGUGCCACGCACUAAUGGCGGAAGCCCGACUUUCUCCGAUGGAGGAGCUGGACGCUGGCUGCCAGGCUGCUGGGGAGGGCGCUGGCUCUGCCAUAAGGGGACCCCCUGCGCGCGACCGCCAAGGCCUCGGCACCGGCGCGCCUGUCUUCGGUACGAGGCUGGAGAUUGCGAGGCCGCCAGGCCUGGGCGAGCGCGAGAAUCCCACCGUGUCAACAGACGGCUGGCGUCACCUUCCGGUUGGACGUGUGCCCGAUCCGGGCUGAGGCCACGGCGGCGGAAAGGGAAAUCGUGGCUACGCUGCACCUCGCGUUCCUGCCCCUGUGUGCUGUCCGGCUUUGGACGGACGGAUCUGCGGAGGGCGGAGUCUUCAGGUGCUGGGCGGGAGCCGUGCUGGUCUGGCUGUAUUUGUAUUUGUAUUUACAUUUAACCCUCGCCCGCACAUGCCAUUUUCCCAUCCUAGAACGCACAUGGGGGGGGUGGUUGCCACCCCCCCCGCGCCAUUUCGUUCCUGUUGGAGAUAGAGCUUAGCAGUAAAGACCAAAAAGAUUCUUUGGGAAAAGACGAAUCCAAUGAUACCCAGUUUUACCUUCUCAGGUCAGUCAUUGACCUUCCAGGUCAGGUCAAACUAAAAAAUGUUGCUGUUUUGGGUCACCGUUGGAUAUCAAGUGCGCUGCUUAUCAAAUACCGAUGACGAUGCUGUUUUCUGGUGCCAAGCCAGCUAGAACCUCUUUGUCACACUAUCCGACCAGAAUUUUGCUGCUGAGGUCAUUUCAGGUCAAGUUAGGUCAAGGUCAAUUAUAUGUGUUUGUAUGUCUGUGUGUGUCUGUGUGUAUACUGAUGUGUGCACCGAUCGUUUUUGGGUCCAUAUCACAUGAAAUCAUGAUCUGAGAAGCUUUUACCAAAAAUGCAGUCAAAAAAAUUCACAAAAAGUAAAUUCAGCUUGCCUAAAACGCAAUUAUCUUAGAUGACCUAGGUUGACCUUGACCCUGACCUUGACCCCUGUACAUCGUCGAACAACAUGUUCCAUGAUAGGUGGGAGGUAAGACUGGCAAAAAAGGCCGAAAUCAGGGUGUCAAAAGCUCACAAGACCCAUGGCAAACGCAAGAUGUUGAGAAUUGGCCAUUUGGGUCAUGACAUGACCUGAAAAACAAGGUCAUAUCUCCGAAACCAAAAACCACAGAAACUUGAAAUUUUCAGUGGACAUCAAGAAAGGAUAGACGAGCAGCUAUACGAAAAAUCAGCUUUCUAGCUUUAAAAAUGUUGAGUGCAGAGCAGAAAGACUGCCUGGGGGGGGUGGCAACCACCCCCCCCAUGUGCGGGCGAGGGUUAAGAGCGAUCCGCAUACAAAGUGCGUGGCGAUUACUGCUCAGAAUCCGUAUCCGCGGCUGCUAAUCUAAUCAUUCAAAACAUUUGCACAUUCACUCACGUCAAAACAAGGACAAGGCUGGACGAAGAGGCCGAGGAACUGCGGGCCCCGGCCGGAGAGCUGUGCUUUAGCUACCGCGCGGAGAUGGUGGCGCUGGUGACCGGUCCGGAGACCCUACUCGCGGAAGAGACAGAGACCAGGACCUGCGUUCCGUACCUAUCUGCUAACUGUGCGGUGGUGCUGGUGUAGUGCAGCAUUUUUGGAUGGAUAGCUACAUUUCACGAUUAAAUAGCUGUUACGUUUCAGUGCAGGUGGCGUGACGAACAAUGUGGUAGUUAUCUGUUGGCCACUUCUGCGGCCGCUGCUAUUUCCUACUCGAAGGCGGGCGCGCUGUUUGGCUGGGCCGCCAGGAUGUUCCCAUUAUGUGUCGACGACAAAGCGAGUACAUUCGUGUUCUUUUAAUGCACAGAGGUCUGUUGUAUAUUUGAAGUUUUAUUUUAAGUUGACGAUUGCGAAGGGCAGAUUCAUCUUCUCUCUUUCAUUUGUGUUGCCACUUUAUCGUUCAUGUUUGUUAUAAGUGUCCAUGCGGCUUGGUUGUCAUCUUUAUUCCUGAUGUAUUUUAUUUUACGAACAUGCUGGUGAUCAAUGCAAUACACUUUUGGUUA